AACGGGAGGCAGCAGUAAGGAAUAUUGGUCAAUGGAGGCAACUCUGAACCAGCCAUGCCGCGUGCAGGAAGACAGCCCUCUGGGUCGUAAACUGCUUUUAUUCGGGAAUAAACCUGCUUACGUGUAAGUAGCUGAAUGUACCGAAGGAAUAAGGAUCGGCUAACUCCGUGCCAGCAGCCGCGGUAAUACGGAGGAUCCAAGCGUUAUCCGGAUUUAUUGGGUUUAAAGGGUGCGUAGGCGGCUUUUUAAGUCAGGGGUGAAAGACGGUGGCUCAACCAUCGCAGUGCCCUUGAUACUGAAGAGCUUGAAUGAACUAGAGGUAGGCGGAAUGUGACAAGUAGCGGUGAAAUGCAUAGAUAUGUCACAGAACACCGAUUGCGAAGGCAGCUUACUAUGGUUAAAUUGACGCUGAGGCACGAAAGCGUGGGGAUCAAACAGGAUUAGAUACCCUGGUAGUCCACGCCCUAAACGAUGAAUACUCGCUGUUAGCGAUACACAGUUAGCGGCUAAGCGAAAGCGUUAAGUAUUCCACCUGGGGAGUACGGUCGCAAGAUUGAAACUCAAAGGAAUUGACGGGGGCCCGCACAAGCGGAGGAGCAUGUGGUUUAAUUCGAUGAUACGCGAGGAACCUUACCCGGGCUUGAAAGUUAGUGAAUCAUUUAGAGAUAGAUGAGUCCGCAAGGACACGAAACUAGGUGCUGCAUGGCUGUCGUCAGCUCGUGCCGUGAGGUGUUGGGUUAAGUCCCGCAACGAGCGCAACCCCUAUGUUUAGUUGCCAGCACGUUAAGGUGGGGACUCUAAACAGACUGCCUGUGCAAACAGAGAGGAAGGAGGGGACGACGUCAAGUCAUCAUGGCCCUUACGUCCGGGGCUACACACGUGCUACAAUGGAUGGUACAGAGGGCAGCAAGCUGGUAACAGCAAGCAAAUCUCCAAAAGCCAUUCACAGUUCGGAUAGAGGUCUGCAACUCGACCUCUUGAAGUUGGAUUCGCUAGUAAUCGUAUAUCAGCAAUGAUACGGUGAAUACGUUCCCGGGCCUUGUACACACCGCCC
rnacentral:rRNA from 1 species